GGACCUGUGGCGCAGCGGUAGCGCGUGUGAUUCCAGCUAUGCAUCAAUCCAUGUGGUGCAAAGUCCACAAGGUCAUCCGUUCAAACCGGGUCAGGUUCA